rnacentral:rRNA from 1 species
AUAAAUCACAAUGCGGAACUUCUGUUUUGCAAUUGGAUUGAGAACAACGCACAACAUUUAUCGAUAAACAAUUGGAGGGCAAGUCUGGUGCCAGCAGCCGCGGUAAUUCCAGCUCCAAUAGCGUAUAUUAACGUUGUUGCAGUUAAAAAGCUCGUAGUUGAAGUGAAGUGUGAAUCUCUUGGAUUUUCGUUUGAAUUUCCUUUUGCUUCAUACUCUUUCCAAAUAGUUUGCAUGGGUAUUUACUUAUCUGUGUAUUGCAUUUGGUCAUUUACUGUGAGAAAAUUAGAGUGUUCAAAGCAUACGUUUGUUUGAAUACAUUAGCAUGGAAUAAUUCGAAAAGGCUUUCAUGUUCGAUUUGAUUGGUUUGUUCGUGAAGGCAAGAUUAAAAGGGACAGUUGGGGGUAUUCAUAUUCAAUAGUCAGAGGUGAAAUUCUCGGAUUUAUGGAAGAUGAACAAGGGCCGAAAGCAA